rnacentral:rRNA from 1 species
GACAGAGGGUGCAAACGUUGUUCGGAUUCACUGGGCGUAAAGGGUGCGUAGGCGGCCGGGUAAGUCUGAUGUGAAAUCUCACAGCUUAACUGUGAAACUGCAUUGGAUACUAUCCGGCUCGAGGAAUGGAGGGGAGACUGGAAUACUUGGUGUAGCAGUGAAAUGCGUAGAUAUCAAGUGGAACACCAGUGGCGAAGGCGAGUCUCUGGACAUUUCCUGACGCUGAGGCACGAAAGCCAGGGGAGCAAACGGG